UGGGGAAUAUUGCACAAUGGGGGAAACCCUGAUGCAGCGACGCCGCGUGAACGAAGAAGGUAUUCGUAUCGUAAAGUUCUGUCCUAUGGGAAGAUAAUGACAGUACCAUAGAAGAAAGCUCCGGCUAAAUACGUGCCAGCAGCCGCGGUAAUACGUAUGGAGCGAGCGUUGUCCGGAAUUAUUGGGCGUAAAGGGUACGCAGGCGGUUUAAUAAGUCGAAUGUUAAAGAUCGGGGCUCAACCCCGCAAAGCAUUGGAAACUGAUAAACUGGAGUAGUGGAGAGGAAAGUGGAAUUCCUAGUGUAGUGGUGAAAUACGUAGAUAUUAGGAGGAAUACCAGUAGCGAAGGCGACUUUCUGGACACAAACUGACGCUGAGGUACGAAAGGGUGGGGAGCAAACAGG
rnacentral:rRNA from 1 species